GGCGAGUUGAAGCAAAGUUUAGUUCAUACAACAAUUGUAGGAGGCGCUAGUAAAUCUCACAGACACAUCUUUAAAAUAUAUCAGAGGCGCUAGUGACUUCACAAUACAUGCCUACAGUGUGUCAGUGACACAACAAACACACCAUUAUAGCUUGACAUUUGGCGCGAAAAGCCAAGGAAAAAAUGGUGGUGUAAUUUAAAGUGUCCGAAGUAGUGCCAGGCUCUUAAAGGGAAAGAAGAAGAAUUAAAAAUACUGCAAAUAAAGAAGAUAAGUAUAUUUCCAAUAUUAAUAACCCAAC